UACGUAGGGUGCAAGCGUUGUCCGGAAUUAUUGGGCGUAAAGAGCUCGUAGGCGGUUUGUCGCGUCUGCUGUGAAAACCCGAGGCUCAACCUCGGGCCUGCAGUGGGUACGGGCAGACUAGAGUGCGGUAGGGGAGAUUGGAAUUCCUGGUGUAGCGGUGGAAUGCGCAGAUAUCAGGAGGAACACCGAUGGCGAAGGCAGUUCUCUGGGCCGUAACUGACGCUGAGGCGCGAAAGCUAGGGGAGCGAACGGG
rnacentral:rRNA from 1 species